UGGGGAAUAUUGGACAAUGGGCGAAAGCCUGAUCCAGCCAUGCCGCGUGUGUGAAGAAGGCCUUCGGGUUGUAAAGUACUUUCAGCGGGGAGGAAGGUGUUGAGGUUAAUAACCUCAGCAAUUGACGUUACCCGCAGAAGAAGCACCGGCUAACUCCGUGCCAGCAGCCGCGGUAAUACGGAGGGUGCAAGCGUUAAUCGGAAUUACUGGGCGUAAAGCGCACGCAGGCGGUCUGUCAAGUCGGAUGUGAAAUCCCCGGGCUCAACCUGGGAACUGCAUUCGAAACUGGCAGGCUAGAGUCUUGUAGAGGGGGGUAGAAUUCCAGGUGUAGCGGUGAAAUGCGUAGAGAUCUGGAGGAAUACCGGUGGCGAAGGCGGCCCCCUGGACGAAGACUGACGCUCAGGUGCGAAAGCGUGGGGAGCAAACA
rnacentral:rRNA from 1 species